rnacentral:tRNA from 1 species
GGGGCCGUAGUUAAGUUGGUUAUAACGCUGGCCUGUCACGCCAGAGGCCGCGAGUUCGAGUCUCGUCGGCCCCGCCA